AGUUUCCGUUCAUCGACCUACUCGCUCUUUUUCACAACGAGGAGAGUCGAGUGUGAAAGACAAAAUGUCUAGUAAUCGUAGAGUUUUUAAGGAUGGAUCCUGGUGGUUUGGAAGAAAAAAAAAACCCUCCAUUUCAGCAUCAGUAUGGAUAAUUUUUGAGGAAUGGGCCCUGUGACAAACAAGACUUAUCACUCCCACAGAUGAGCACUAAGAAGGAAUUGAUGGGUGUUUGGAGGAAGUUGAGCAGAUGACUUACAAACCGAAGUCUCAUCUUGAAUGACUGCCUUGUCAGCAGAAGUGCAACCCUCUGACAUGUUCCCUAUAAUCUUGAGUUUGGUGGAGGUGUCUGAAGUUAAUAACAAACCCAAGUCCAGUUCCCCAUUUGAAGACUUUUCUAAAACUGUAAAAUUAGGCCAUUUUUUCACCUACCCUUUUGACUUGCUCCCAACUUAAUUUCUGCUUUUGUGUGAUGUUCCCAGAGAUUGUAAGAAAUUGAUUUACAAAAGAUGACAAAUAAAAACCAACAGAAAACUCA